AACUGAAACAUCCUAAGUACCCCGAGGAAAAGAAAUCAACCGAGAUUCCCCCAGUAGCGGCGAGCGAACGGGGAGGAGCCCAGAGCCUGAAUCAGCAUGUGUGUUAGUGGAAGCGUCUGGAAAGGCGCGCGAUACAGGGUGACAGCCCCGUACACAAAAGCGCAUGUGCUGUGAGCUCGAUGAGUAGGGCGGGACACGUGGUAUCCUGUCUGAAUAUGGGGGGACCAUCCUCCAAGGCUAAAUACUCCUGACUGACCGAUAGUGAACCAGUACCGUGAGGGAAAGGCGAAAAGAACCCCGGCGAGGGGAGUGAAAAAGAACCUGAAACCGUGUACGUACAAGCAGUGGGAGCACCCUUCGGGGUGUGACUGCGUACCUUUUGUAUAAUGGGUCAGCGACUUAUAUUCUGUAGCAAGGUUAACCGUAUAGGGGAGCCGGAGGGAAACCGAGUCUUAAUUGGGCGUUAAGUUGCAGGGUAUAGACCCGAAACCCGGUGAUCUAGCCAUGGGCAGGUUGAAGGUUGGGUAACACUAACUGGAGGACCGAACCGACUAAUGUUGAAAAAUUAGCGGAUGACCUGUGGCUGGGGGUGAAAGGCCAAUCAAACCGGGAGAUAGCUGGUUCUCCCCGAAAGCUAUUUAGGUAGCGCCUCGUGAAUUCAUCUCCGGGGGUAGAGCACUGUUUCGGCUAGGGGGCCAUCCCGGCUUACCAACCCGAUGCAAACUGCGAAUACCGGAGAAUGUUAUCACGGGAGACACACGGCGGGUGCUAACGUCCGUCGUGAAGAGGGAAACAACCCAGACCGCCAGCUAAGGUCCCAAAGUCAUGGUUAAGUGGGAAACGAUGUGGG
rnacentral:rRNA from 1 species